rnacentral:ncRNA from 2 species
AACGGAGUAGGAAUCAAUGCGUAAAGUGCCGAUGGAACGGAAUGUGAACAUUGGACGAAAAGCAGUUGCUUGCGAUAUUGGUUCCGCAUUCGCCGCC